GUCCUCUACUUUUCAUGGGCUAUAGAUAUGGGUCAACAACUUUAAAUGAAGCCCGAUUUGUCUCCUCUUUCACUUUUCUUUUUAAAAUCGGAGUUUCGCAGGUACGGAACAUAACAGAGCAGAGUUGUUGCGGGGAGCUUUUGUGUGGUUAGUUUGCUAAUUUCUUUAUUCGACCAUGGACUUGGAAUCAAAUUACGAAAUUGCUCGGACCGCCAAGUUCAUCAGCGGCGGCGGCUUCACCAGAGUCGCUUUACAGUUCCCAGACGAGCUUCUAAAGGACUCGGUGAGAGUUGUGAGUGUUUUACGGGACAAGCUUCGGCGUCUACGAGAAUCUCAAUCCGACAGCGACCGGAACGGCGACGUAAAAGAUGUAUCUUUGUUUGUGAUGGCUGACACAGCGUACGGUAGCUGUUGCGUGGACGAGGUCGGAGCGUCGCACAUCAAUGCUGAUUGUGUCGUGCACUACGGCCACACGUGCUUCAGCCCGACUACAACUCUUCCAGCGUUCUUUGUUUUUGGAAAAGCUUCAAUUAGUGUGUCCAAUUGUGUAAAAAAAUUAUCAGAUCAUGCUGUGAGAAACGGCAAACCUGUUCUGGUCCUCUUUGGUCUGGAAUAUGCACAUUUGAUACAGCAAAUAAGAGAUGAAGUGGUAGAAACAUGUACAAGUAGCUCUGGAUUAGAAAUCCAAUUUGCUGAAACUAUGUCUUCAGACAUGAAGCCAUCAGAAUCUCAUAAGAUUUCCAAUGGGAGCUCGGAACCAGCUAGUGUCUUCUCUGAUGAUAAAUGUAUCAGGACAGUAGCUGGUAAUAGAUAUAGCAUUGGAGGCUUGGUCUGGGAAUUACGUGAGGGACACAAAAUGGAGGACUACUUGCUUUUUUGGAUUGGUUCUGACAAUGCUGCAUUUGCAAGUGUUGUACUGACAUUUAAUGGUUGUGAAAUAGUCAGAUAUGAUGCAAGGUCAAAUUGCAUGGUGACAGACUUAUCUCAACAAAGAAGAAUUCUAAAGCGUAGAUAUUACCUCAUUGAGAAGGCAAAGGAUGCGAACAUUGUUGGUAUUCUGGUUGGAACUCUUGGUGUAGCUGGUUACCUGCACAUGAUUAAUCAGAUGAAAGAGCUUAUCACAGCAACAGGUAAAAAAGCAUAUACCCUUGUUAUGGGAAGACCAAACCCUGCAAAACUUGCCAACUUUCCUGAGUGUGACAUUUUCAUUUAUGUCUCUUGUGCCCAAACUGCUCUUCUGGAUAGCAAAGAGUAUUUAGCUCCAGUUAUUACUCCAUUUGAAGCCAUGCUAGCGUUUAACAGAGGAAGUGAAUGGACUGGAGCUUAUGUAAUGGAAUUCCAGGAUUUGAUUAAUUCAUCUCCACUGGUUUCAAGAAACCAGUCGAAAGAGGCACGGUUUUCAUUUUUGAAAGGUGCAUAUGUAGAAGAUUUUGAUAUACAAGAGGAUGAUGAAGAUAAGGAAGGAGAUCUUGCAUUAGCAAAUGCAACUGAGAAGGCUCUACAAUUGCGUGAUAACCCAAAUUCUCUAGCCAAACAGCCAGCUAGAUCUGGUGCAGAGUUUCUUGUGUCUCGAUCUUAUCAGGGUCUGGAUAUACUUAAUGGCAACACCUUGCCAGAACCAUAUCUCAUCGGGAGGAGUGGGAGGGCAGCAGGGUACAAGAAUGAGAAGAGUGGGGAGGAGAAAUUGUGAUCAAUACAUCAGAUUCAGACAAGAAGAAAAAGUCAUACUGGAAUGAGGAAUACUCAGGUGAAGUUGCAUCGGAAAAAACAGUCAUAACAGGACAGAAUUCAGGAGGGACUAGCAAGCGAAUAGGCAUAGUUUGCAUAUCUCCCUUCCUUGUAAGCUUGAAGCCCCAACCAAGCAUGAAUUACUUAUUUAUGGUGGACAGGGGAGUGCAUUGAGUUAUAAAAGCCAAGAAAAGACAGCUGACAUCGGUGAGCAUUCCUUGUCGUGCCAUCUCUCUCUGUCAAUUCGUAGUACCAGAAGCUUCCAGGAAAGAGAUCUGAAAACUGCCGAACUUACUGUCAUGGAACUUUCAGAGAGAAGAAUCAUACACAAGAAUAUGCUCUUUUACAUGUGGGGAAAUGGAAGAAAGACACGGCACUUGUACUGAUCUAGUAAAACCUUUGGCUUCAACAUUUAUUCAUCGUCGGCCAAAACAAUUUGAUAUUAGGAAGUUUGCAUUUACUGAAUUGAGAAAGAAACUGAUCUAGUAAAAACUUUGGCUUAACAUUUAUGCUUCGUCAAGAACCAAAACAAUUUGAUAUAAAAAAGUUUGCAUUUACUGAA